UACAGAGGUCCCAAGCGUUGUUCGGAUUCACUGGGCGUAAAGGGUGCGUAGGUGGUCGGGUAAGUCUGAUGUGAAAUCUCCGAGCUUAACUCGGAAAUGGCAUUGGAUACUAUUUGACUGGAGGGUUGGAGGGGGGACUGGAAUUCUCGGUGUAGCAGUGAAAUGCGUAGAUAUCGAGAGGAACACCAGUGGCGAAGGCGAGUCCCUGGACAACUCCUGACACUGAGGUGCGAAAGCGUGGGGAGCAAACAGG
rnacentral:rRNA from 1 species